rnacentral:misc_RNA from 1 species
GCCUACUGUUUAAUUUUGAGGGUUCGUUUUUACGAAUACUCAAAAUUAGCACUUUAAGCAACAGAAUAAACUGAACGCAUGUGAAGUUUGUUUGUUGGCGACGUGCUUUAGCACUUUAAGCAACGGAAUUUAUUCGUUGGCGCUGUGCGUUAGCACUUUGAAAACUGCAUAUAUAUUUAGUGAUAUGACAUCUAAUUUGUAAUAUAUAAAGUUGAUAACUUUUUAAAAUUAUCGAAGUUGAUAGCUUCUAAUCUAUCAAACCUUUUUAACUGGUCAA